UGAUCCAGAGUACCACGGGACACGUGAAACCCUGUGGGAAGCAGGAGGGACCACCCUCCAAGGCUAAAUACUACCUAGUGACCGAUAGCGUAUAGUACCGUGAGGGAAAGGUGAAAAGAACCCCGGGAGGGGAGUGAAAUAGAACCUGAAACCCUGCACUUACAAGCUGUGGAAGCACAUUUCUUGUGUGACCGCGUACUUUUUGUAGAACGGGCCAACGAGUUACGUUAAGUAGCAAGGUUAAGCACUUAAGGUGCGGAGCCGUAGCGAAAGCGAGUUUUAACUGAGCGUUCAGUUACUUGACGUAGACCCGAAACCGGGCGACCUACCCAUGAGCAGGAUGAAGCGAAAGUAAAAUUUCGUGGAGGUCCGAACCCACGAGCGUUGAAAAGCUCGGGGAUGACUUGUGGGUAGCGGUGAAAUUCCAAUCGAGCCCGGAGAUAGCUGGUUCUCCCCGAAAUAGCUUUAGGGCUAGCCUCAAGGUGAGAGAUACGGAGGUAGAGCACUGAAUGUCCUAGGGGGUAUUGCACCUACCGAAGACUAUCAAACUCCGAAUGCCGUCAUCUUAUACUUGGGAGUCAGACUGUGGGUGAUAAGAUUCAUAGUCGAAAGGGCAACAGCCCAGAUCGUCAGCUAAGGUCCCUAAAUGUAAGUUAAGUGGUAAAGGAUGUGGGAUUGCACAGACAACCAGGAUGUUGGCUUAGAAGCAGCCACUCAUUCAAAGAGUGCGUAAUAGCUCACUGGUCGAGUGAUCCUGCGCCGAAGAUUUCCGGGGCUAAAACUUACUACCGAAGCUACGGCAUCAGUAAUGAUGGGUAGGGGAGCUUCCCAUACGGGUUGAAGCAUGACCGUAAGGACAUGUGGACAGUAUGGGAGUGAGAAUGUUGGCAUGAGUAGCGAGAUGUGGGUGAGAAUCCCACAGGCCGUAAACCCAAGGUUUCCAGGGGAAGGUUCGUCCGCCCUGGGUUAGUCGGGACCUAAGCUGAGGCCGAAAGGCGUAGGUGAUGGACAACAGGUUGAUAUUCCUGUACUACCGAUAACCGUUUGAGAGAAGGGAUGACACAGUAGGAUAAGCUAAGCACACUGUUGGUUAUGUGUGCCCAAGCAUUGAGGCAGUCAAAGUAGGCAAAUCCGCUUUGAUAAUGCUGGGAUGUGAUGGGGAGCGAAAUUUAGUAGCGAAGUAGCUGAUUUCACACUGUCAAGAAAAGUCUCUAUCGAGGUUAAAGGUACCCGUACCGCAAACCGACACAGGUGGGUGAGGAGAGUAUCCUAAGGCCAGCGAGAGAACUGUUGUUAAGGAACUCGGCAAAAUGACCCCGUAACUUAGGGAUAAGGGGUGCCACCAUCAGGUGGCCGCAGAGAAUAGGCCCAAGCGACUGUUUACCAAAAACAUAGGUUUCUGCUAAGUCGCAAGACGAUGUAUAGGAGCUGACGCCUGCCCGGUGCUGGAAGGUUAAGGGGAUCUGUUAGAGCAAUCGAAGCAGUGAACUUAAGCCCCAGUAAACGGCGGCCGUAACUAUAACGGUCCUAAGGUAGCGAAAUUCCUUGUCGGGUAAGUUCCGACCCGCACGAAAGGCGUAACGAUUUGGGCACUGUCUCAACAACAGACUCGGUGAAAUUGUAAUUCCGGUGAAGAUGCCGGAUACCUGCGACAGGACGGAAAGACCCCAUGGAGCUUUACUGUAGCUUGACAUUGGGUCUUGGUACUACAUGUACAGGAUAGGUGGGAGGCUUUGAAACCAGGACGCCAGUUUUGGCGGAGCCAUCCUUGGGAUACCACCCUUGUAGUACUGGGACUCUAACCAUAGGCCAUGAAUCUGGUCUUGGGACACUGUCAGGUGGGCAGUUUGACUGGGGCGGUCGCCUCCCAAAAGGUAACGGAGGCGCUCAAAGGUUCUCUCAGUACGGUCGGAAAUCGUACGUAGAGUGUAAAGGCAAAAGAGAGCUUGAUUGCAAGACAUACAGGUCGAGCAAGGAUGAAAAUCGGACUUAGUGAUCCGGUGGUUCUGCGUGGAAGGGCCAUCGCUCAACGGAUAAAAGCUACCCUGGGGAUAACAGGCUUAUCUCCCCCAAGAGUCCACAUCGACGGGGAGGUUUGGCACCUCGAUGUCGGCUCAUCACAUCCUGGGGCUGUAGUAGGUCCCAAGGGUUGGGCUGUUCGCCCAUUAAAGUGGUACGCGAGCUGGGUUCAGAACGUCGUGAGACAGUUCGGUCCCUAUCCGUCGCAGGCGUAGGAAAUUUGAGAAGACCUGUCCUUAGUACGAGAGGACCGGGAUGGACGUACCUCUGGUGUACCAGUUGU
rnacentral:rRNA from 1 species